rnacentral:tRNA from 2 species
GCCCUUGUAGUUCAACGGAUAGAAUAGAAGUUUCCUAAACUUUUGAUAGGGGUUCGAUUCCCCUCGGGGGUA